rnacentral:rRNA from 1 species
UUAUCUCUGUAGAGUCUGCAUAUCAAUAAGCGGAGGAAAAGAAACUAACUAGGAUUCCCUCAGUAACGGCGAGUGAAGCGGGAAGAGCUCAAAUUUGAAAUCUUCAAGGUUCUACCUUGACGAAUUGUAGUUUAAAGAAGUGUUUUCUGUUGGAUGUUUUGGUAAAAGUUCUUUGGAAUAGGACAUCAUAGAGGGUGAGAAUCCCGUAUUUGACCAUUACUUCCAGCUUUGUGAUACACUUUCAAAGAGUCGGAUUGUUUGGGAAUGCAGUCCAAAAUGGGUGGUAAAUUUCAUCUAAAGCUAAAUAUUGGCGAGAGACCGAUAGCGAACAAGUACCGUGAGGGAAAGAUGAAAAGAACUUUGAAAAGAGAGUUGAACAGUACGUGAAAUUGUCAAAAGGGAAGCGUUUGACACCAGUGUUGUUUUCUCGAAAAUCAAUUAAAAAAGGCAGGAUUUUGUGUUGUAUUGACUUUAUCAGCUUUCUGCACUCUUUUCUUGUCUUUUUUAAUGCACUUUUCGUUUAACAAGUCAACAUCAAUUUCUUUUGUUGUAAAAGGGUCAUUGGAAGGUGGCUUUCUUUUCGGAGAAAGUGUUUAUAGCCUUUGGCCUCUGCAACCGGAGAGAUUGAGGUCUGCAGCGUAGAUCCUUCGGGGUUAGAUACAUUUGUGCUAAGUUAUAGCCUUUCAUAGACAACUUGUUGACUAUGAUCAGUCAUGUAGCUUACUCGCUUAUGCUAUUUUACCUACGCUUAGGAUGUUGACGAUCAGCUGAGCGCG